GCGACCCYAGGACGGGCGAGGCCACCCGCCGAGUUUAAGCAUAUCAAUAAGCGGAGGAGAAG
rnacentral:rRNA from 1 species